UUAAUAAGCGGAGGAAAAGAAACUAACAAGGAUUCCCUCAGUAACGGCGAGUGAAGCGGGAAGAGCUCAAAUUUGAAAUCUCCGAUGCGGGCAUCGGCGAGUUGUAGUUGCGAGAAGCACUUUCUAGGCGGACGGGCCCUGCCUAAGUUGCUUGGAACAGCACGUCGCAGAGGGUGACAACCCCGUCUGUGGCAGGGCCGGCCGCCGACGAUGCGCUUUCGAAGAGUCGGGUUGUUUGGGAAUGCAGCCCAAAAGGGGUGGUAAACUCCAUCUAAAGCUAAAUACUGGCGUGAGACCGAUAGCGA
rnacentral:rRNA from 1 species